UACGUAGGGGGCAAGCGUUGUUCGGAAUUACUGGGCGUAAAGGGCGCGUAGGCGGCACAGCAAGUCGGGAGUGAAAGCCCGGGGCUCAACCCCGGAACUGCUUUCGAAACUGCUGAGCUAGAGUACAGAAGGGGCAACCGGAAUUCCCAGUGUAGCGGUGAAAUGCGUAGAUAUUGGGAAGAACACCUGAGGCGAAGGCGGGUUGCUGGCUGAUACUGACGCUGAGGCGCGAAAGCCAGGGGAGCAAACGGG
rnacentral:rRNA from 1 species